CGGCGCCCCGGGCCGCCCUCGCGGAGCCCCGCCCCCGGCCCGGAAGUGCGCGGGCAUCCGCAAGAUGGCGGCCGCAGCGGGCGCGCUGCGGGGCCUCGGCCGCCUGUGGCGCUUGCUGCUCUUCCUCUCUCAGUUCUGCGUUCUGUCUGGCGGUGAGCACUCGCAGCCGCUGGCGCAGCCGGUGAAGGAUGCGGCCCCCACGCGUGCGUUCACCGCGGCCCCCAGGGCGCCAGAGACUACCGAAAUCCCACCCUACGUGACCAAGUGUCCUAGCAACGGUCUGUGCAGCAGACUCCCUGCGGACUGCAUAGACUGCGCCACCAACUUCUCCUGCGUCUACGGGAAGCCUGCCACUUUCGACUGUGCCGUGAAGCCGUCUGUGACCUGUGUCCAGGAUCGAGAGCUGCGGGCCCAGGAGAGCUUCGUCAUCAACAUGACGUGCCGGUUCUGCUGGCAGCUGCCCGAAACAGACUACGAGUGCACCAGCUCCACCAGCUGCAUGGCCGUGUCGUGUCCACGGCAGCGCUACGCCGCCAACUGCACCGUGCGGGACCACAUCCAUUGCUUGGGGAACCGUACAUUUCCCAAGAUGCUCUACUGCAAUUGGACCGGAGGCUACAAGUGGUCUACCGCUCUGGCGCUCAGCAUCACCCUGGGCGGCUUCGGAGCGGAUCGCUUCUACCUGGGCCAGUGGCGGGAAGGCCUCGGCAAGCUCUUCAGCUUCGGGGGCCUGGGCAUCUGGACGCUCAUCGACGUCUUGCUGAUCGGGGUCGGCUACGUGGGCCCCGCAGAUGGCUCCCUGUACAUCUAGCUGCGGCGCGUGCUUCGAGGGAGCGCGCCCCGUGUCCCCUGGAUGGAUGGGCGGGAGGGACGUCGGUCUGUUCUACGUACAGCAUCUGUACUUUGCUUGCCUUGAUGAAGGAGACGUGGAUGAGCAGGCGAUAACUAGAAGAGGAGCUGCCCCUGCAAGUAGCCGAUGAGCGCGCUUUCCUCUGAGCCUGCUCCGCGUUCAGCUCUGUGCAGAAGAGAGUCUCUUUCACAGUUCCUGUUGAGCAGCCACGCGAGGUGGAGCCCCGGAGUCCCUUGGCCCCUGGAGGAGAUAACGUAGCACCACCCGUCUCCACGGCCUCGGAGCCUGGGGUCCAUCGUGAGGCUGCAGUGUCUGGCGAAAGCUCAAAGCCCAAGUCUAGGAGGCGAGUGAGUGACUUGUUCCCGAAUCCUAGAAUGUCUGCACGAGGGCUAGCCUGGGAACCUGCUGGAUGGGAACCAGUCAGGGUGCUUUGUGUGGAGGCCUGGGCAGGGCCAAUGGCCUGUGAGACAAUCGCAGGAAACAUGCAGACUUCAAACCGGUUUAUGAAAGAUGGCCUCACCCGUGGCCCUAAGGAAGCUACAGAACAAAACUACAGAUUCCAAGGGCACCAAGGACGGUAGGUUCUGUGGGGAGCAACCGGACUAGACUGAGUUACUGGAAUUAAGACUUAUUCUAUGCAUCUGCUCUCCCACAAUAUGGCGCUGGGAGAGAAGUAAACAGCUUCCGCACAGCUGCCUCCAGUUCAACCAAUUAACUGUAGGACUUGCUCCUGAUUGGAGAGCAGCGUACUCGGCGUGUGGGCAGCCGAGUUGGGAUUGGCGGAGGAGGACUAUAAAGGAGGAGAGAGACGGCAUGCACCAGGAACAUCUAUGGGGAACAUCUAAGGGAACCCGUGCAGCCCCCGAGAAAGCCGGCCGGCGGUGUGCCGCUCCCCUGCGGAAGUGGGGAAUGUGGCCAGGGGGAACUGCCCUUCCACGGAGGUGGAAGGGAUAGUAGCCAACCCGGGAAGAACCAGCAGCAAACCCGGGGAGGGCCGAGCAGACGAAAGAACAGCGCAGGGUCUUGUGUUGUUCCUCCAUGAAGAGGGGGAGCGACAUAAUGGUGCCGUGACUCGGAUAUGAAGCCUAGGCAGGGUUCAGUGUUGCUCCUCCACGAAGAGGGGGAGUGACAGGUUCGAGCUCUGGAGCAAAUCCCAUGGGCUUCUGCUGGCAGCAGGCUGGCCUUCCCUGUCCCAGCGUGGUCCUCGUCCACUUGGGGGCUGCGGUAACACGUGCCGUCCAUGCUGUGGCUCGGGUGAACUUUCUCAGGGCUUGGAGGCUCGGGGAGUGCGAAGUCCAGGCACCAGCAGGUCAAGCUGCCGGUCAAGGCCUGCUUCCUGGCAGCCAGCACCCCCUGCGUGUCCUCACAUGGUGGGAGUGGGGGCGCCUCUGGGCUUCUUUAAUAAGGGCGUGCAUCCUAUUCAUGAAGAUUCCACCCCCACCACCUGGCCACCUCCCAACGGCCCCACCUCCUAGUGCAUCGCCAGGUGGUUGAGGAUUUCAACACAGGAAUCCCACCCCACCCCACCCCCCGUACAUGUGUUUACCAGCCUGGGAACCCUAGCAGCCAGCCAGCCUCUGCCGAUGGCUCUCUGGGUGCUUGGGGUUUAUCAGAGCAGCGUGCCAUCUGUCGUCAUUUUGUCCUAAGAAUCUCCCUCGCUUUGUCAGCACUCUUCCCUUCACCCGGUGGAUCCUCGUGGGAAGGUGCCGGGUUUGUUUCACCUAUUAUCCCCAGCACAAUGUUGCGCACACACAGGCUCAUAUAUUUUCCAAGUGACUAAUGCCAGGGGAGUCUUGGAGGUUUCGAAGCGGUUGUGUGGAAUUCCAGGGACUGGUGGUUGAGGUGGCUGCCGGGAGAAAAGAGAGAGAAAUUGGCUUCGAGUAAAUAUUUGUCGCCAGCACCAUGUUGAUGAGAUUUCUGCAAAUUACUAAGGAGCGGGUCUGCUCUGUGGUGCUUGUAAAAGAUACUUUUCAGAGAUCGUACGCUUCAAGAUUUAAAAAUGUCCUCUUUAUGCCACAUAACUUUCUUAAAUUUUUUUUUAUAUCAUAUGCCAGAAUUGCAUUUAUUUUUGGUGCACCAUCAGUUAAGGAAUUUGCAAAUGAUUUUAUCCCAUAAGCAGUGAAUGGAAAAUGAGCUUUCUCUGCUGCAGCCUUUCACAUACAACAUCAAGAAAACUGAAAAAGUGGAUACAGAUUCCUUCUCUCCUGCUGUCCAUGGGCGUAUUUGAUGAAGGCAGUUCUGAAAAUUUCAGUUUUUCUUUUUUUGAGAGGUAGAAGGGGAGCGACAGAGCUCCCAUCUGCUGGUUCACACUCAAUGCCCGUAACAGCUGGGGCUGGGCCAGACCAGAGCCAGGAGCCAUCCAGCUGUCCCACGUGGGCGGCAGGGACCCAGCUAGAGCCAUCGCCUGCUGCCUCCUGGAGUGUGCCUUAGCAGGAACUAGGAAUCCUGGGCUUCCCACUUGAACCCAGGUACUGCGGGGUGGGGGGUGGGGGGCGCUGACCACUUGACCACUAAGCCAGAUGCCUGCCCCUGCCAGCACUUGUGGUUGUGAGUGUCGCUAGUACAUAACGGGCAUAUAUAUUUCAUUUUUGUUGUAUGUGCUUACAGUGUAAAUGUGAUUUUUUUGGUGUAAAGUGAAAUGGCUCCUCCAGUCAAGCAAAUUAACAUGUACAUCAUGUCACAUAGGUAGCCUUUUUGUGUGGUAAGAGCACUUAAAAUUUACUCUCCUAGCAAAUUUCCAAAUUUCUAGUAUUCAAUACACUAAGUGUAGCCUUCAUGCUGUACUUCAGAUUUCUAAGUUUAACUUGGUGACCUUGGUAGGAAUUCUUGGAUGUGAAGGAUUGAGAUUGCCUUCUGUAGACACCCCACUUCUGUGCAGAAUACAGAAGUGUUGCUUGGGACAGGCCCCUGAAGGCAGGGCUCUGGUCCUCUGCGGUCGCCCAGUUCGAGAGCCCCGCCUGGCACACGGCAGGUACUCCAGGGGUGAGGUGGACGCCUAGAAGCACUGGUGAGAAUUCUUUGACAGUGGCACAAUCAAAUACUCAACAGCACAAACAAUGUAGAAAAGCCAGCAUCUCCUUCCUGUAAACAGCAAAGAAACAAAAACACAGCAGCAAGCCAGAGGCGACAGCCAAGUGGCCAAAAGGUCCGAAAGUGGCGAGUCGGGAGGGAGAAAUGCGUGGCUCAGGUGUGCAAGGCUGCUCCGGCAAGAUCCAGGAACCCGCACUGGCAAGAGAGAAACAGGUUGCAGAGGAAAUUGGUCAGGUGGUCAAGUGGCCAGAGGAAAUUGGGGUAUCCUGUCCUUUCCCUGUUCCCACCGGGGGUAGUGCAAAGGCUGCUGGGAAGAGAGCCAUGAGCGAGGGCUGCUGAGCAAGCAGGAGGUACUCUGAUGAACAUGGGGCUUCCAUGCAGAGCCAAAGAAAAGAUCAAAGCCCGGGAUGACCCCUUGGGCCAUGAAACAGUCCCCAGCCAGGCCAAGAUAACCUUCCUUCUGGGUAUGUUGAAAAUCUUAGUAAAGACCAGAAACCAGAUACUGUAGCAAAAAAACUGUCUUAGCUCUUCCUGCCUCACCACAGCCAACAGGCCACAGAGCACUGAACAGAACACAAAAUACAGCUUCCAGAGCGCCCAGGAAUUACUCACAUGAGGUCAUGAAGUUUCCACGUUACACAAGAACAAAAUGAAAUGACAUUCACACCCACCAGAGCGACCUAUAAUAAAAACGACAAUAACUAGGGUUGGGAGGAUGUGGAGAAAUUGGAACCCCCAUAUGUGGCUGGUGGAAGCAUGCAGUGGCGUGGCCACCUUGGAAAGCAGUCUUGCAGUUCUUAAAACUGUGAAACGAGUUACCACAUGACUCAGCAGCUCCACUUCUGACGUCUGCCUAGAGAAAUAAAGAUAUAUGUGGACUCAGAUUUGCAGCAGCAUUACAGUAAAAAUCUGGAAAGCACCCAGAUGUCCAGGCAGUGAAUAAUGCUAUGAACAAGAUGUGGUAAAUCCAUACAAUGGAAUAGUAUUCUAUCAUAAAAAUGAGGUACUGGGGCCGGCGCUGUGGCUUAGCGGGUAAAGCCACCGCCUGCAGGGCUGGCAUCCCAUAUGGGCACUGGUUCGAGUCCCAGCUGCUCCACUUCCAAUCCAGCUCUCUGCUGAUGGCCUGGGAAACCAGUAGAAGAUGGCCCAAGUCCUUGGGCCCCGGCAUCCAUGUGGGAGACUUGGAAGAAGCUCCUGGCUCCUUGCUUUGGAUCAGCCCAGCUCCAGCCAUUGCAGCCAUUUGGGAAGUGAACCAUCGAUGGAAGACACUCUCUCUCUCUCUCUCUCUCUCUCUCUCUCUCUCUCUCUGCCUCUACCUCUCUUAAGUCUGCCUUUCAAAUAAAUAAAUAAAUCUCGGCGGGGGAAAAGAUUUAUUUUAAAAAGAGAUACUCUUACAUGCUAAACCUGAAAACAGUGCUAAGAAAGGACUCAGCACCCGUACGGCAGAGGGCACGCGAGAACACAGGGGGCGGAGGGGCAGUGUGCACAGCAGAGGGGAAGCGCUCAUCUUGAAGAUCUCACCUAAGAAACAGAAGACAAGUCCCUGCAGAGCCCUUGUGCCAUGGGCUGCUCUCGGGCGCCCUUUGUUCGGCCAAGACACCGAGCCUGUACUCAGGGCCGGCACCUCCCUCGGCAUCUGGAGGGGCAGCAGUGAGCAAGCUCUCCUUUCUGGGAGCUCCCGUUCUCUGUGCACAGACACAGGCACCGCGGUACUGAUCCUUGCACGCCCGCCGUCCGGGGAGCACGUGGACUUGCGCUCACUGUAGUGGAUAUGGCUUCUGGGUGUGGAUGUGCCUCCCAAGGCUUAUUUGCUGCUUCUGAUCAAAGAGCUCAUUUUUCACAGAAAAAGAAACGCGGCACCAAGUGUGACUUCAUGCUGAGAAAAUGGAAAAUGGCUUUUGAUAGCCAGGCUGUGAUUUUAAUCAUAAAUACCAAGAAAACUCACAGGAUGCAAACAGUACUCCCCACAGCCGGUUCUUUCUUUUUUUAGAUUUAUUUAGUUGAAAGUCAGAGUUACAGAGAGAGAAGGAGAGACAGCGAGAUCUAUCCACUGGUUCACCCUUGUCGUCACCAUUGCAGCCAGGGCUGGGCCACAGCUUUGCCCGCUGUGCCACAGUGCUGCUGCCUACCCCCACCUCCCAGUGUAGUAACAUAGAAUCCUGGGUUGAGAAAUUUCUCAUUCUUAGUAUAAGCAAUGCUAUAAGUUUCCCUCUAACCUGAAUCUGUUUUUUUUUUUUUUUAGAUUUUUUUUUUUUAGAUUUUAUUUAUUUACUUAUUUAUUUGACAGGUAGAGUUAUAGACAGUGAGAGAGACAGAGAGAAAGGUCUUCCUUCCGUUGAUUCACCCCCCCAAAUGGUCGCCAUGGCCGGCACUGCACCAAUCCGAAGCCAGGAGCCAGGUGCCUCUUCCUGGUCUCCCACGCAGGUGCAGGGGCCCAAGCACUUGGGCCAUCCUCCACUGCCCUCCCGGGCCACAGCAGAGAGCUGGACUGGAAGAAGAGCAACCGGGACUAGAACAUAUGGGAUGCCGGCACCACAGGCGGAGGACCAACCAAGUGAGCCACGGCGCCGGACCCCUCUAACCUGAAUAAUCUUACAAAUUUUGUCAUAGGAAAAAAAGUUUCCUAAUUCCACUUUUAACUACCUCUUUGACUCCAGGAUUAUUUUUAAAUGUACCUUUUGAUUUCCAAAUAUAUGGGGAUUGUCAAGUUUCUUUUUGUAAUGAAUUUCAUUGUGGUUAGAGAAUAAAAUUUGUGUUAUUCCAAGUCUUUCAAACAUGUCGGUCUACUUGCUGAGUCAAGUAUGGCCUAGCAUGCACUUGAACGCGCUCCGCAGCCCCAGGGAAACCAACGGGCCAGGCUGGUCGAGAGUAUCUUUUAGGAUCCCUACCUCCCCGCCAAUCUCUGUCUCCACAGUCUAGCAGUGACUGAUGGGGGACUGUUGUAGUUUCCAACCAUAAUAGUGGGUCUGUGUGUUGGUCUUUUCAGUUCUGUUAACUUUUAUUAAUGUAUUUUGAGAAUCUUUUGUAGGCAUAUGCUUUUAGGAUUCUGAUGUUUCCCUUUUUAUUGUGGUAAAAUACCCAUAACACCAUUUUGUUUAUUCAUUUGAAAGACAAAGUUACAGAGAGGCAGAGAGAGAGAGAGUGAGAGAGAGAGAGAGAGAGAGAUCCUCCAUCUGCUGGUUCACUCCCCAAAUGGCCACAGUGGCCAGAGCUGGGCCGACCCAAAGCCAGGAGCCAGAAGCUUCUUUCGGGUCUCCCACGUGGAUGUGGGGUCCCAAGCACUUGGCCACCUUCCACUGCUUUCCCAGGCCAUAGCCGAGAGCUGGACCAGAAGUAGAGCAGCCGGGACUCCAACCAGCGCCCAUAGGGGAUGCUGGCACUGCAGCCGACUAUUUUACCCGCUAGGCCACAGCACUGGCCCUCAUAACACCAUUGUAACCAAUUUUAGGUAUGUAGUUCAGUGUCAUGUCGUUGCACAACUCUCAACAUCAGUCUCAGGAAAUGUUUUGUCUUCCAAGAAUGAAACUCUAUAUCAUUAAAGCGUAACUCCCAAUCCUCUACCCUCAGAUCCUUGCGACUACCGUUGUAUUUUCUACCUCUGUGAAUUUGACUGUUCCAGUUUUCUCGCAAUAGUAGAGCCAUCUAGUGUUUGUCCCUUUGUGUCACUUCCCGUAAUGUCUUCAGGGUUCAUCCAUAUUGUAGCAUGUGUCAGAAUUUUAUUCCUUCCUAAGAGUAAAUAAUAUUCUAGAUUGUAUGUAAAUAUAUAAUUACAUGAAUAUACCACGUUUUGUUUAUUCAUUGAUGAUGGACAUUAGCAAUGUUUCUACCUUGUAGCUAUUGUGAGUAAUGCUGCUAUGAACCCUGACAUGCAAAUAUCUGUUCUAAUUCCUGCUUUCAAGAUUUCAUUUCUUGGGGCCAUAUGUUGUGAUGUAGAGGGUAAAGCUGCCAUAUGGGCGCCGGUUCAAGUCCCAGCUGCUCCACUUCGAUCCAGCUCCCUGCUGAUGCUCCUGAGGAAGCAGUGAGAGAUGAUCCAAGUCCUUGGACCGCUGCACCCACAAGGGAAACCCAAAAGCUCCUGGCUCCUGGCUUUGGCUUGGUCCAGCUCCAGCUGUGGCAGCCAUUUAGGGGGUGAACCUGUAGAUGGGUGAUCUCUUUCUGUCCUUCACUAACUACCUUUCAAAUAAUUAAUAAAUCUUAAAAAAAAAGAAACAGGAACAGCGUGGAGUGAGGUAAUUAACAUGUACACCUGCAAAUUACCACGCCUCUUGUGUCUGGCUGUUAGUUGGCCAGGCUGAGUCCACUGAGCCGGGAGCUGAGUCGGCUGGGCUUUGUGGCCGCGAAUGCAGCCUUCAGCGCAGCCAAGGCCUCAGCCUCCCUGCACUGGGGAGCCCCUGCCUGAGCCGAGCGGAGCUGUGCUCCUCGGGGGUCCUCCCCUUUCAACCGCGCUGCCUGCCUCUGUGGCCCGGGGCUCCCUCUGUGCCCCUCCCCAAGAGAGCAGUGUCCUCACUCGCCCCCCAGUGCUGAGCCUGAGAGCCAGGGGUCUUUCCCGGUGGUCCUGGCCCAGCCUCGUUCUGAGAUCCGAGGCCUCAGCUUGAGGCUGUCUCAGUGUUCCUGGCCUUCCCUGUCCCACAGCAGCUGAAUCCCCCCAGCCCCGUCCCGUGGGUGGUGCCGGGCAGGCCUCCCGCUUUGUGGGUUGGGUUCCCGCACCCUGGUCCUUCUCCCGGCAACAGGAGGUUUCUGUGUGGACCCCUUGCACGGUGGCGGGCGGGUCUUGCCCUGUGCCCCUGGGGCUCGGGGUUACCCAGCCCCGCCCGGGGUGGGGUGGGGUGGGCUUUGCUCCGUGCUUCCUUGCAAAGCAGUGGGUGCUGCUGUGCCUGUGGGUAGCAGCCUUCACCGCGCAGCCCCGCAGGAGCGCUCCCUGGCUCCUGCCUGCUGUGCGCACCUCUCCUGGGAAUUCAGAGAUGGUCCCUGGACGCGAACUCCCUGAAGUCCGGGUGCCCCCACUAUUCCAGACGUGACCCAGCCCACACGUGGCCUCUAGGGAUCUGCCAGAAUGUGGCUGGUAGCUUCCUGCCCCGUGGCGGCCACGUGCUUGUCCCCUGCCCCGCCUCCUCCUCCCCCCUCCCAGGAGGCCUGCGCCCCCUGUGGAUCUCGGCUUUCUGGCCGCCUUGCACCCUCGGCUCUCUCCAUCAUGGUUUUCCAGUCCCGUUUAAAAGCUGGAAUGACCUGCUUUUCAUCACGUUUUGUAGCCUGGUAACCAAGGUCAUCAAUGGGAGUCACAGUUAAACUUUUAUCCUUCAAAAAACAUUAAAGGGUCAACAUAUAAUCAGAAGCUAAUUUUUUUCUCUUUCCUUUGAAAAUCCUUCAAUUACUUUAAAUUUGUACAAGCUCUCUGUAGCCAAUUAGGACAGCAUCCCCCAUGGACUUUAAGAGACCUUAUAAUGUGUUUUAUUUUCCUUUUAUGUUGAAUUUGUUUAUCUGAGCCAGUUAGUUCUGGAGUGUGCGUGUAACAACAGAACAUUUUUGUGAUUACUUAAUGUUCUAAUUCUAUGACUAACAAAUCACCCAAAGCUCAGUGACUUACAACAGUCACUUAUUUUCACAGACCCUGGGGAUGGGACAUGCAGUGAGCCCAGCACCAGGGCCCUGUGAUGCCUGAGCCCCAGCCGCAGGACCCAGGCUGGGCUGGCACCGCGGGAAAGCUCUCGGGCCACGCGCCUGGAGCCUCCUCUCCACGCAGGCCUCUCGAGGAGGUCUCUCUGGGGUGCCGUUUGGGUUUUGCUUUGGUUCGGACAGAGUUCGUCCCCUAAGAGUUCACAGGUUGGAAGCUGGGUGCCCUGGUCAGCGACGUUGGUGGGACCUGUAAGAGGCGGGCCUCGAGCAAGCUGACCAGGUGGUCAGGGCUGCUGCCCUUGGGAGGGGUCAGAGCAGGCCUGGUGACACCCUGACUCAUAACAGAGCGAGGCUGGGCACUGAGCUGCUCCCUGGCUUCCUGUCUCGCUGUGGGACCUCUCCCUCCACGCAAGUUCCUACCACGCGAUGCCACCUUCCAGGAGCCGAGAGACCAGCGCCAUGCCUGGAACCACACACUGGAUGAAGCGCUCUCUGGGUCUCGGUUCCCUGUAACCAGGAUCCCAUAGUGUCCAGCGGUUCUUUAAAUUGCUCUAUGGACAGGGGUCCCCCGUCAAAAGAGUUUCUGUUUUGUUCUUUGUGUUUUCAAGCAUCUGUUAACCUCACAUCCCUUUUAGGCCCUACCACUUAGCUCUCAUCAGCCAAGGGUUUGUAUCCCGGGGCCCUACCAUGAGACGGUCUGGGAGGAAGGACCCACAGGGGCCCAGCACACAUCUGUCCCCGCUGUGACCUUGGAUUUGGAAAAGUUUUAGGUAGAUAAUUUUAGAAUCUGAGUUGAGCUAGCGGUCCCCUUGUGCCACCCAAAGAACAUGGAGCUGCAGAGAGUCGAGACACUUUUCCCCAACGUUCUGCGAUUGACUCUCCGAGUAACAGUCCUGUCUAUGCCGCAGGCCGCCCCACAUGGCCACUCUGACUUCAGAUUAUCCUUGGUGGAGCCACAUCACUUGCACGCGGUAAGGUGGUCCGUGAAGAUACAGAGCCUGCAGGUUUGGGCCUGAGAGGGAGACGGAUCUGGACCAAGACGAUGGCUUGGCCACGAUCCCUUGUGAGCCCCAGGGGUCACAGCUGCUUCCUGGAGAUGCAGAUCUUAGGCCACCGCGGCACCCACAUUUGCUUUUUCCUCUGUGGUCUCCCAGCUCUGUAGGAGAGGACUUCAAAAAAAUGGAAACUGGGAUUAAAAGAUGAAUUUGUUUUGAUGUAAAACAUUUUGAAAUCCAUGCACGCUUUUUUGUCACAACACACAUUUUCCAUGAAUUUUUUAAAGACGCCCUCAGAGAGGCUGAGUUACUAAUCCGAACACCUGAAAUGCCCCAGGACCCUAGAUUUCCUGGGUGUCGACGUGAUGCUCAAAAACAUUUCAGAUCUUGGGUUUUAGAUUAGAUUUGCUCAACUGAUGAAGUUUAUGCGAGUGUCCCCAGCAUUUGGGAUGAGGGGGCUCGAACUCCUCUUGCUCAGACGCCCAGUGCGGGGUCUGGACGCAGCCUUGGCCUGAAGCAGCAGGAUGUGUCCUCUGUCCUUCCUCCUCCCGGCUGCCGUGGGUGUGCGAUGACUUCUGUCACAGAGCCGCACCCCUGGGAGGCAGAGCAGACAGACAGACAAUGCCUGAGCCUGAGACGCGGCUUCCACCCCGGCUCCGCCUUCUCCACGGGGGUGGGGGUGGAGAAGCACAAUUCUGUCUUGUUUCAGCCAGUCUUUUCCUGGCAGCCAAGUGCCGGUCCCGCGUCGCGGCCACAGAGUGCUGGGGCGCGGGCACAGCUGAUGUCCGGCCACGGAAGAAGGGAAUUCUCCCAGGAAGCAGAGAGCCGAGCUCGCUCCUGACACAGCCAUGACGGGAUCACGCAGUCCGCUCACCAUCUCUCUGGUCUGCACGGAUAGAGAGGCUGCAGAUUACGGAGCGGGCUUGGUGGGCCAGCUCUAACUGUCCCUUCUUCCCCGCACGAGGCCAGGGAGGCGAGAGGCACAGUGGGAGGGGUCUCUGCCUUGACCAGGAGGCGGAAAGCAAAGCAGAGAAAAGCUGAGGCACCAGAGAGCUCCAGAUACGUCUCUGCCAUCUGUGACCACUUCAGGCCUCAGUUUCUUAAUCUGUAAAAUGAGAGUAUGAUUAAUAACUCCCUCAUAAGGUUGAUGAGGACACCAAAUGAGACAAUUUGUGUAUAGCAGUCAGCACAGUGGGCGAGCUCCUUACAUAGCCAUAAACAACUCUGAUUGACAAACAGAAGAACUGCCGCGAGUGGGCAUGUAGCCACUCUCAUGGGAUCAGACACCGGCAUCCCAUGUCAGAGUGCCUGGGUUCGAUUCCCAGCUCCGGCUUCUGGCUUCCUGCUAACGCAGGUGCUGGGAGGCGCUGUGAUGGCUCAGGAGGUUGGGUUCUUGCCACUGACCAGGACCUGAAGUGAGGUCCCGGCUCCCAGCUUUGUGUCCAGCCCAGCCCUGGCUGCUGGUGGACACUGGGAACCAGGGGAUGGGAACUCUCGCCGUGUAGCGUUUCUCUGCCCCCGUAGGAAUAAACAAGUACACUGCCAGCUUCUGUGCUUCUCUGCUCCCAGCUUGCUCCUGUCCUCAUGGCUGUGGUGCCCCGCAUGGUGACAGUCACCGAGAGCCGAGGUCUGGGCUUCGGCUUUGCAGCUUCCGGCUCUCCGUUUACUGUGGGCCCCUAAAAGGGAGCCAGGGACUGAGGGCUGAGUCACGCCAGCUCCAAAGACAGCUGCAGAAGCAGAGCAUGAGGUAAUGCUGGCACCCACAGGCAAGAACGGCCCACCUGCUGCAGGCCCCCGACAGGUGGCAGGCAGGGCUUGUAAGGCCGCUGGGUGGGCAGCGGCUCCGAGCACAGGUGGCAGGUGACAGUGUCUGCCAGCCCGAGUCUUCCAUAGAAUGGGUGGGGUAAGAGCCCAGCAGUGACUCCAGAGGUUGGGAGGGCCGGGGGUGUGAACUCAGCCAGGGCUCGGAGAUGCAGCCCAACUGUGCAGGCCUGCAGCCAGCCGGGUGACAGGCGGGGCGUGUCCCGCCUCCCUGGGCCCCGGCCCCAGCCCGCGCUCCUCCCUCUACGAAUGCACUGGACAAAUGCUGACGCGAUCGAUUUUGUGUCUGCAGAGCCACAGCCUCUCAUUGAUGAGGACGUCCAUGCUGGCCACUUUGCUGGACUUGAUCCCCGGGCCACUCUUACGAGUGACCUCUGGGAGGAGGAGAGGGGCUGGAAGGCCCAGUGACCCAGAGUCCUUUUCUGCAGGGACCAGAGGCCACGGUGACUGCUGGAUUCAUCCCGUCGGUAGCCCCAUGGAGUGACCUGUCUUCCAGUGGGAGGACCCCGGGGUCAGCAAAGGAAAAUUAAAUUGUGCUUUGAAUACUUUGAUUAAGGAUUAAAAAAGUUUCCAAUAAAA